AAACCGUACUGAAAACCGACACAGGUGGUCAGGUAGAGAAUACUCAGGCGCUUGAGAGAACUCGGGUGAAGGAACUAGGCAAAAUAGCACCGUAACUUCGGGAGAAGGUGCGCCGGCGUAGAUUGUAGUCCCUUGCGGAUGAAGGUUGAACCGGUCGAAGUGACCCGCUGGCUGCAACUGUUUAUUAAAAACACAGCACUCUGCAAACACGAAAGUGGACGUAUAGGGUGUGAUGCCUGCCCGGUGCUGGAAGGUUAAUUGAUGGU
rnacentral:rRNA from 1 species